UAGGGAAUCUUCCGCAAUGGGCGAAAGCCUGACGGAGCAACGCUGCGUGAGUGAUGAAGGUCUUCGGAUCGUAAAACUCUGUUAUUAGGGAAGAACAAAUGUGUAAGUAACUAUGCACGUCUUGACGGUACCUAAUCAGAAAGCCACGGCUAACUACGUGCCAGCAGCCGCGGUAAUACGUAGGUGGCAAGCGUUAUCCGGAAUUAUUGGGCGUAAAGCGCGCGUAGGCGGUUUUUUAAGUCUGAUGUGAAAGCCCACGGCUCAACCGUGGAGGGUCAUUGGAAACUGGAAAACUUGAGUGCAGAAGAGGAAAGUGGAAUUCCAUGUGUAGCGGUGAAAUGCGCAGAGAUAUGGAGGAACACCAGUGGCGAAGGCGACUUUCUGGUCUGUAACUGACGCUGAUGUGCGAAAGCGUGGGGAUCAAACAGG
rnacentral:rRNA from 1 species